UUUAUGGAGAGUUUGAUCCUGGCUCAGGAUGAACGCUGGCGGCGUGCCUAAUACAUGCAAGUCGAGCGAACAGAUAAGGAGCUUGCUCCUUUGACGUUAGCGGCGGACGGGUGAGUAACACGUGGGUAACCUACCUAUAAGACUGGAAUAACUCCGGGAAACCGGGGCUAAUGCCGGAUAACAUGUUGAACCGCAUGGUUCUACAGUGAAAGACGGUCUUGCUGUCACUUAUAGAUGGACCCGCGCCGUAUUAGCUAGUUGGUGGGGUAACGGCUUACCAAGGCGACGAUACG
rnacentral:rRNA from 1 species